GGGUCAGUAGGUUGGUCGUGCCACCGGUACGUACUGGUCUCACUGAUCCCUCCUUCCUGAAGAACCGUAAUGCCAUUAAUUUGGUGUUGCGGGGAAACAGGACUGUUACUUUGAAAAAAUUAGAGUGUUUAAAGCAAGCUAACGCUUGAAUACGUUAGCAUGGAAUAAUGAAAUAGGACGAUCGAUCCUAUUUUGUUGGUUUCUAGGAUUGACGUA
rnacentral:rRNA from 1 species